rnacentral:rRNA from 1 species
GACGAACGCUGGCGGCGUGCCUAAUACAUGCAAGUCGAGCGAAGUUUUUCUGGUGCUUGCACUAGAAAAACUUAGCGGCGAACGGGUGAGUAACACGUAAAGAACCUGCCUCAUAGACUGGGACAACUAUUGGAAACGAUAGCUAAUACCGGAUAACAGCAUUAACUGCAUGGUUGAUGUUUGAAAGUUGGUUUUGCUAACACUAUGAGAUGGCUUUGCGGUGCAUUAGCUAGUUGGUGGGGUAAAGGCCUACCAAGGCGACGAUGCAUAGCCGACCUGAGAGGGUGAUCGGCCACACUGGGACUGAGACACGGCCCAGACUCCUACGGGAGGCAGCAGUAGGGAAUCUUCCGCAAUGGGCGAAAGCCUGACGGAGCAACGCCGCGUGAGUGAAGAAGGAUUUCGAUUCGUAAAGCUCUGUUGUUAGGGAAGAAUGAUUAUGUAGUAACUAUACAUAGUAGAGACGG